ensembl:lncRNA
GAAACCUGGCAACCCUUCCCACGUGCCCUUCACUCACCUGUCCUUUAAAGAUCUACAUAAGAGUGAAAGAACAGUAAAUUGUAAUCCAGAGGCUCUGUAACUUGAUGAAUGAAUGUGAGCAACUGUAAAGAAGCACAUUUAACGUGAAGACGCUUUUAAAAGGAACGAGAUAAAACGCCGUUCUCUGCUGUGAAGUGGCUCAUCAGUGAAAUGAUCCUAUUCCUGCUAGAGUUUAACUUCUACAGCUGGUGGAGUUUUGACUCGACUGUGAAAGCUGACAGAGUGAACAGGAGGGCGAUGCUGGUGCCGUGUGAUAUGGAGUAUCCGGUGUUUGUCUCAGAGCGCACGAUCAAAGAGACGGCCGGCAGCAUCGACUGUGACGGCUGUAUCAGGUGUGUGU